rnacentral:rRNA from 1 species
GACGAACGCUGGCGGCGUGCUUAACACAUGCAAGUCGAGCGGAGCGGCGAACGGGUGAGUAACGCGUGAGUAACUGCCCCCCUCUCUGGGAUAACAGUUGGCAACGGCUGCUAAUACCGGAUAGUUUGGGAUGAGUCGCGUCCAAUCAGCUUGUUGGUGGGGUAGUGGCCUACCAAGGCGACGACGGGUAGCCGGCCUGGGAGGGCGACCGGCCCCAUGGGGCUGGGGUACGGCCCAAACUCCUACGGGAGGCAGUAGGGGGGAAUAUUGCACAAUGGGGGAAACCCUGAUGCAGAAACGCCGCGUGCGGGAUGACGGCCUUCGGGUUGUAAACCGCUUUCAGCCAUGACGCGGUAGUGGCAGAAGAAGCACCGGCUAACUACGUGCCAGCCGCCGCGGUAAUAC